rnacentral:rRNA from 1 species
ACGAACGCUGGCGGCGUGCUUAACACAUGCAAGUUGAACGGAAAGGCCCUGCUUGCAGGGUACUCGAGUGGCGAACGGGUGAGUAACACGUGGGUGAUCUGCCCUGCACUUUGGGAUAAGCCUGGGAAACUGGGUCUAAUAUCGGGUAGGAGCCAUAUUUAGUGUGAUGGUUGGAAAGAUUUUUCGGUGUAGGAUGAGCCCGCGGCCUAUCAGCUUGUUGGUGGGGUAAUGGCCUACCAAGGCGGCGACAGGUAGCCGGCCUGAGAGGGUGGACGGCCACAUUGGGACUGAGAUACGGCCCAGACUCCUACGGGAGGAAGCAGUGGGGAAUAAUGCACAAUGGGCGCAAGCCUGAUGCAGCGACGCCGCGUGGGGGAUGACGGCCUUCGGGUUGUAUACUCCUUUCGCAAGGAACGAAGCUUUUUGUGACGGUACCUAGAUAAGAAGCACCGGCUAACUACGUG